UACCAUGCAGUCGACGAUGAGCCUAGCUUGCUAGGUGGAUUAGUGGCGAACGGGUGAGUAAUACGUGAGUGACCUACCUUUGACUCUGGGAUAAGCCUGGGAAACUGGGUCUAAUACCGGAUACGACCAAUCUCCGCAUGGGGUGUUGGUGGAAAGCGUUAUGGAGUGGUUUUAGAUGGGCUCACGGCCUAUCAGCUUGUUGGUGAGGUAAUGGCUUACCAAGGCGACGACGGGUAGCCGGCCUGAGAGGGUGACCGGCCACACUGGGACUGAGACACGGCCCAGACUCCUACGGGAGGCAGCAGUGGGGAAUAUUGCACAAUGGGCGCAAGCCUGAUGCAGCGACGCCGCGUGAGGGAUGACGGCCUUCGGGUUGUAAACCUCUGUUAGCAUCGAAGAAGCGAAAGUGACGGUAGGUGCAGAGAAAGCGCCGGCUAACUACGUGCCAGCAGCCGCGGUAAUACGUAGGGCGCGAGCGUUGUCCGGAAUUAUUGGGCGUAAAGAGCUUGUAGGCGGUUGGUCGCGUCUGCUGUGAAAGGCUGGGGCUUAACCCUGGUUUUGCAGUGGGUACGGGCUAACUAGAGUGCAGUAGGGGAGACUGGAAUUCCUGGUGUAGCGGUGGAAUGCGCAGAUAUCAGGAGGAACACCGAUGGCGAAGGCAGGUCUCUGGGCUGUAACUGACGCUGAGAAGCGAAAGCAUGGGGAGCGAACAGGAUUAGAUACC
rnacentral:rRNA from 1 species